UUUUUUAAUUGGGAACUGGUAUGAAGGGUAGAAACUGAAGGGGUUGUUUUAUUUAAUUAGUUUGAAAUUAAAUUAAAGGUGAAAAUGCCUUUGUUAGACCUAGGGACGAGAAGACCCUAGAAGCUUAAUAUUUUUUGAAAGGGAACUUUUUUUAUUGGGGCAAUAUUUGAAGAUACUAAUCUUUGAUAACUGGAAAUAAAUUAUGUAAAAGUUACUCUAGGGAUAACAGCGUUAUUUGAUUGGUGAGUUCUUAUUAAUAAUUAAGUUUGCGACCUCGAUGUUGAAUUAAAUUGAAUUUUUGGUGAAGUAGCCAAAGGAUUUAGUCUGUUCGACUAUUAGAAAUUUACGUGAUCUGAGUUCAGACCGGA
rnacentral:rRNA from 1 species